GCGGGUGUGGCCGAGGUGGCAAGGCAGCGGUCUGCAAAACCGUCAACGCGGGUUCGACUCCCGCCAUCCGCU
rnacentral:tRNA from 1 species